UAAAUGACUCUCGGCAACGGAUAUCUCGGCUCACGCAUCGAUGAAGAACGUAGCAAAAUGCGAUACUUGGUGUGAAUUGCAGAAUCCCGUGAACCAUCGAGUUUUUGAACGCAAGUUGCGCCCGAAGCCUUCUGGUUGAGGGCACGUCUGCCUGGGCGUCAUGC
rnacentral:rRNA from 1 species